rnacentral:rRNA from 1 species
UACAGAGGGUGCAAGCGUUGUUCGGAAUUAUUGGGCGUAAAGCGCGUGUAGGCGGCUUUGCAAGUCGGGUGUGAAGCCCUCGGCUCAAACCGAGGAAGUGCGCCCGAAACUGCAGAGCUUGAGUGCCGGGAGAGGAUGGGCGGAAAUUCCCAAGUAGAGGUGAAAUUCGUAGAUAUGGGAGGAACACCGGUGGCGAAGGCGGC